rnacentral:rRNA from 1 species
AAUCAACGCUGGCGGCGUGCCUAACACAUGCAAGUCGAACGCGAAAGUGGAGCAAUCCAUGAGUAGAGUGGCAAACGGGUGAGUAACACGUGGGUGACCUGCCUUCGAGUGGGGGAUAACGUCCCGAAAGGGACGCUAAUACCGCAUGACAUGCUGUCUUUGAACAGAUGGACAUCAAAGCCGGGGAUCGCAAGACCUGGCGCUUGAAGAGGGGCCCGCGCCUGAUUAGCUAGUUGGUGGGGUAAUGGCUCACCAAGGCAACGAUCAGUAUCCGGCCUGAGAGGGCGGACGGACACACUGGGACUGAGACACGGCCCAGACUCCUACGGGAGGCAGCAGUGGGAAUUGUUCGCAAUGGGCGCAAGCCUGACGACGCAACGCCGCGUGGAGGAUGAAG